CUCUAGGAAUUUGUUGCAGUGGGAGGAUGGAAAGGCAGCAGGAAUCUCAAGAUAAGAACAGGAGGCUGGCAGGGAAGAACUCAGGCAGUUCAGAGGGCCUAGUGGCCAGAGAGAUGGAAGGGCAAGGAGGGCGCAGGUGGAGCAGUCGGGUGGGGACUGAGAAGAGGGCUCCAGUGCAGAAACCUCUGGGGCCACACUUUCCCAAGACACCAGCAGCUAAAGAAUUGGGGGAUGAAGGAGCCCAGGCUGAGCAGCGGACGGGGCUCCCUCCUCCUUUCUGUCGCUGCGCAGAUGCACGGUCGGCAGUCUCGCCGGUGGUGGCUCGGUGAGCCGCUGCUGUGAGGGACAAGCGAGGGGGCCCGAGAGUCCAGAACUGCCGGACUGCCAGGGGGAGCCCACCGGCCCUGCCGGAGACGGCGCGGACGGAGUCCCGGAGCUGCGCACGGAGCAGGUGCCGAGGCGCGGGCGCCGCCCGUGGUCCAGGUCCUGCCUUAGCCCCAACAGCCGGAGUCGCGGGGCGUCGGGCAGGAGCGAGCCCCCACCUCCCGACGUCUCCGCCGGAAGCCCGCCCUUCCCCAUCCCCUGGGACCUCCAGCCCCGGAUGAGCGAAGCGUCAGAAUUGGCCACAGCACUGAAUACCGGGGUGCUGAGUCACAGUUUGGGAAGGCGCCCCCCGCCCCGACCCCGCCAGGCCUCCAGCUGUGGCGAGGGUGCCAAGGAGGCGAGGCCGCCCUCCAGCCACACUUCGGAGAGGUGCAGAGGAAGAGCUGAGAGAUACCCGGCCGGCCGAGAGAAGGGCCAUGGCGGGGGGGACCUCGGCUCAGCAGCCGCCCGUUCUGCAGAGAAGCCCAGGGCCGGUUCUCCACUCCUUCCUGCUGCCAAGAGCCCCUUGCCCCAGCGCACGGGCAGACAGGCUCCAGUUGUCCGGAGGAGGGGCUGGUGACUCGGGGGAUGUGAGGAAGCCCAGGGCCCGAGUCGCCUCUGUGCCCACUCCGAGGGGCUCCCGUUUGGUUCCCUGCUGACCUCCAAGCCGACGAGGAGCCUGCUUUCUUAGGCGUCACCCAUGAGGAGAUGUGAAGGGGCUGACAGGGAGGUUGUGUGUGUGCCCAUGCGCACGUAUGUAUGUGCACAUAUGUACAUACACAUGUAUGCCUGCAAACAUGCAGGCUGGCGUGGGUGGCUAUCUGUGCAUAUGGACAGGUAUAUUAUAUUUAUAUUUGUAUUUCUGAGAAUUUUGGGGGGCGGUUUUUGGAUCAAACUCGGGUCCUUGCACUUGUAGGGCAGGCAGCAGAACACUGAGCUAAAAUUUUUUGGUUUUCGAGACAGUGUCUCGCUGUGCAGUUCAGGCCGGCCUUGCGUUUACUAUAUGUAGCUUGGGCUGGCCUCAAACUCAUGGCAGUCCUCCUGCCUCAGCCUCCCGAGUUCAGGGAUUACAGAGUGCACCACCACGCCCAGCCUCAUGCCUGGGCUUGUGAUGAGCACUGAUGAAUAGAUCUUCCGUGUCACAUUGUGCACGAGCCCCGUGAUUGGUGGGGGAUUUGCAUGGCCUCAGACAGAGACAGGGAGGGGGGCCCAGAGCCACCUUUUCCCAAGGUGCCCCUCCAGGUGGAGAGAAGGGCAGAGGCAGGGGCAGGGCAGCUGUCAGCACCUGCUCGUCUCCCUGGGCCUCCUGGGGUCGGGGCGCCCCGGGAAGCAGUCUGUGUUCCAGCUCCCCCUCUGUCUCUUGAGGGUGAGAGGAAGAAGUGUGCCCGGAACCCCCUUUUCCUUGACCCAGGGGAGCCAGCAAACACCUGUGUUGGGGGAAGAGGGUCACAGGCCCCCAGCUGCGGCCCCACCUCUCCCAGUCAGCAUUUCCUGCUGCUGCUCUGCUCUCUUCAGCCUCUCUGCUCUGGAACAAUGGCACCCGCCAACCCAGUUCCUCCUAGCUCCUCCCCAGCAUAAAGCCCAGAUGUGUCCCCUGGAGCCCUCUUUCCUGUCUCACCUUUCCUGCUUCACCCCAUCUCUCCUGCUUCCCAGUCUGUGUCAGAGAAUUCCACAAACACAUCAGGAUAACCACCACCCAGACUGAGAAACGGUAUUCCCGCAUUCAGUUUCUAGCACCACACACACCGCCCCCAA
ensembl:lncRNA